AAGCGUCUUCCCCUAUUCAUUCGGCCGAACCAAAAAAUGCAGCCCUAGCCUCUCCGUUUCAUCUCCUUCAGCCGAAUGAGAUGGUCCUUCGCCCAUUUGCCAUUUCGCCUCCAUAUUUCAGUGGAUCGCAUCAUAUGAAAAGCACGAUCUGCCUUAUUCGAAGACGAACUCGAAGGUUUCACUGCUCUUAAGCCACGGAAUCCUCACUUAAACUUCGAUUGCUACGAAGCAAGCAAGGAUCCGAAAGUGGCAAUACCAAGAUAAGUCCCUUUCUUUUUUAUUAUUCUUUUUUAUACUGUAAAUAAAAAUCAAGAAGAAAAAAGAAAUGAAAUCGAAAGAAAUGCUCGGUCUAAGAAUCACAUUUUCCUGUUUGUUUUCUAUUUGAUUGUUUUGUAUGCGUAAAAAAAAAUACAUUCAUGCUGUUUUGGGCUUUAUAGUCGAUGGAAAGGUAAAAGAAAAGAAAAGAAAUACAAGUUUUUCUAUUCUCUUUUUCUAUUUGCUGUUGUUCUCUUGUCUGUUUGCAGGUACGUGGUGAGCGUGGCGCGCGUACAGAGGCUGUGCACUGGCGUACGGAGGCGCUAUGGAGGCUGUACGUGGGGGAGCGGCAUGAGGCAGAUAGGGGCUAGGGUUUUGGCUAAAUUUGUUUUAGUUUUUGGGCCGUUUGGGCCUUAUGGUUAGUUUUGUUUCCGGCUUGUUUUAUUUGGCAGAUUUGGGCUAGUGUAACAAAGGGACUUGGACUAUAAAAAAAUUUGAUUUCAUUAUUAUCUAGUUUAUGUUUGUACGGGCUCCGGACAGAUUUGGGCCUAUAUAAUCGUUAAAAUAUUAAUCAUAUAAAUAUUUAUGGAAGUAUGUAAAACUACUUUAAUUUUUACAAUUUGUAAGUGGAUCCAUAUAUAUAUAUAAGUAAGCUUUCAGUUUAUAUUUUCUUUUUCUUUCAGUUUAUAUAUAUGUAAGUGGUUUAAAUCAAGUGAUAGGGAUGUCAAAUUUUAAACUGUCCGAUAGGUUUCAAACAGAUAUAUUUCAAAUGGAGUAAUUUUUUUUUCUUUUGAAAAGUACAUUUGGGGUAGGGUGAAG
rnacentral:lncRNA from 1 species